rnacentral:rRNA from 1 species
AUUGAACGCUGGCGGCAUGCCUUACACAUGCAAGUCGAACGGCAGCACGGGAGCAAUCCUGGUGGCGAGUGGCGAGCGGGUGAGUAAUAUAUCGGAACGUGCCCAGUCGUGGGGGAUAACGUAGCGAAAGCUACGCUAAUACCGCAUACGAUCUAUGGAUGAAAGCGGGGGAUCGCAAGACCUCGCGCGAUUGGAGCGGCCGAUAUCAGAUUAGGUAGUUGGUGAGGUAAAGGGCUCACCAAGCCGACGAUCUGUAGCUGGUCUGAGA